rnacentral:rRNA from 1 species
UAAACUAGGAUUAGAUACCCUAUUAUUAUAUAUGUUAAGAUUUUACCUGAGUAGUAUUAGUUAUUUUCUUAAAACUUGAAGAAUUUGGCGGUAUUUUAGUCUAUUUAGAGGAAUUUGUCCCGUUAUCGAUAAUCCCCGUUAUAUCUUACUUAAAUUUUGUUAUCAGUUUGUAUACCGCUGUUAUAAGUUUAUUUUAUUAGAAUUAAAAUUUACUUUAUUUAUAAUUUUGAAUUAUUUCA